GGAGCGGAGAGUCUCGCACCUUGGGGCGCGCUGCCUAAGGUGGUGAGGGAGACUCAGAGAAGCCGGAGCCAGCGCCUGGGGUACAGGGUUGCUGUCCACUUUAUAUUUUGAGACAGGGUCUUUCAGUGGACCUACAGCACGCUGACUCAGCUAAACUACCUGGAAGCAAGCCCCAGGGCUUCCCUUGCCUCUGCCUUGCCAGCUCUGGGAUUACAGCUGACAAUGUGAAAAGAUUAAGUAUGGAGUUUCUCAAGUGUCUCACCAGAAGGUCACAGAUAAGAGACAGAAACAAACUUACGGUCAGUGAGUUUGGAAAACCCUGGGAUGGCUGGAGUUUCCACCUCUCAACGUUGGUCUCUUUGACCACACCCAGCAGAGAUGGUCCCUGCUCAGCAUUCCUGUAUCUGUAAUGGUGUGUGUCACUGGCGGGAUUGUCCUGUGUCUCUCACACUGUCUGCUCACUCCUCCAUGCUCCAGUUUAAAUCCUACCAGACCUGGGAAAACAGAAGGAUGCUCCCCCCACUCCCGUGCAGAUUUAUCUUGAUUGAUCUGACACUACUUGGAUCUCAAGUGAAGCUUUAGUUUGAAGUGUGUUUGCAUGAGACCCUAGGGCCAGCCCGGUGUCAAUAUUCCUGUUCUACAGCCAAGGAACCUGAAAAAACCAAGCGGUUGCUGAUGUUACACAGACACUAAAGGGAAGAGCUUGGGGUCCGCAGUAGGGUGUAACUCUAGCCUCCUGACUGUUCUGGACACUGUGCUGAGACAUCUCCUGCUGGCCUGAACUUCAGGAGGAGACCAGAGGUCACAGUUGUUCUUGGCCCUUGGGGAAAAGUAAAGGGACAAGAUGCUCUAGGAGUGGCAGGAGACCUACUGUUAUCUGAGGGCAUCUCUGUCCAGGUCUCAAAGUCUGCUUUUUGGUGAGAGGGUUCACCUAGAUCAGGGGCUUCCAAAUCCUACUUACAAGAAUGAACACAGACACACACAGACACAGACACAGACACACACACACACACACACACACACACACACACACACACACUCAAAUGCAUGAACUGGGAGAGAAAGACAGCCCCAAGACUUAGAUGUAAGCAGUAUCCCAUGGUGCUCGGGGACAUUUGUCCCAGGUGAUCCUCUAUAGGUUUCUCAUGUGCAUUUUUAAUUAUUUAUUUUUUGUAUGUACAUGAGUACACUGUAGCUGGCUACUCAAAUCCUUGAUCAAAGCACAAGUCCACAAGGUCUAGGUUGAGCUUG
rnacentral:lncRNA from 1 species